rnacentral:tRNA from 1 species
UCCCGUGUGGCUCAGUUGGUAGAGCAUGGUGUUUUGCAACACCAGUGGUUGUGGGUUCGAUUCCCACGGGGGAC